CCUGGCGGGAAGAGGCGUUCUCGGGACACAAGAGGGCACUGCAGCCCAGGGCAGAGCAGGUGUGGCCAUGGGUGUGCAGCUGCUGGCGGGACAGUCUGCUCAGCAUGGCCCAAGUCCCAGAAUUCUGCCCAGCGGGAACCCAAGGUCCGGGGAGCAAGGCCACGGGAGGGGCCUUCGGAGGGCUUGUGAGACGGGACGUGUGAGCACAUGUAUGUGUGUGUUCCACGGGCUGCAGCUAGCGAAAGGGCCGUAAAGUGGAUUGUGGGAAGGUAAAGCUGGCAGCCUUUGCCGUUGGAGGUGGGUGAGAGCUUGGCUCUGCCCACUGGGGGGGUGGGGACUUCUCCCUACUCUCCCACCCACUGCUCCCACCCUUUAUUUUCCCACCAGACUUGGCCUGGCCUUCAGCCCCUGGGGCAAGCCUGACCUGAAGUCCUCCUCUCAGCAGGGGCUGGAAGGCCAGUGCUCCCACCUCUGCUGGGGGUCAGGCAGGGCAUGGAAUGGCCCCGGACAGGCCAGGAGAGGGACAAGGACCCCACACACUGGACAUGAAUGAAACACACGCAAACGCUUAACAGCUGUUGUGGGAACAGCUACCAUGCAGCCGUGCCCGGCUCGUUCCUCCAAGGGGACCCUGGCAUGGGCCCACGGGCAGCACUGCCUGCUCCCUCGGCAGUCAGGAGUGGCUCGGGGGUGGCGGUGUCUAAAGGGGCUGGUUGCCAUGGCUACCAUAGGGUUCCGAGGCCCGUCAUCUGGUCCCUGCUUCAGCCAAUCGGCGGCGGGAGCCCAAGCUGCAGCCCAGAGUCACGCUUCUGCCUCCCAGCCACACAGUGGCCAAGAGCAGGGACCUGCUUCCUGGAGUGGCUGGAAGUGCUCGGACGGACGUCCAAGCCCAUCAUGGCGGACAGCGGGACGGUGGGGCAGAAGCAGGCACACGGAGCCAGGCAGGUGAGGGCAGGUACCCCGAGGAGCUGGAGGCCCAAGGGCCUUGUUCUGGUCCCAGGGCUUGGGGACCCCCGCCACCGAGGGCCAAGAGGAGGAUGGACACGGACACAGCCCCGAGAGCCUGGCCCAGCCACAGCGGCAGCUCCGCAGAACCAAGGCAAGCGCUGGGGGCCCGUGUUGGGAGUUGGGGGGAGCCCAUGGGCCAGUUUCUGAGGUCCUGCUGUCUGGCUGGCAACUCAGGACUCCCUCAUCACUGGAAACUCUGCUGUGCCAUGGAGGCCACCCACUCUGUCUCCUCUAAG
rnacentral:lncRNA from 1 species